GUUCCUAUAGUUGAGAAGUGACAACGGCGGCUUUUCAGGCUGCAGGUCUUGGAGGAGAGCCAAGUAGGAAUU
rnacentral:tRNA from 1 species